rnacentral:rRNA from 1 species
AUUGAACGCUGGCGGCAUGCCUUACACAUGCAAGUCGAACGGUAACAGGUCUUCGGAUGCUGACGAGUGGCGAACGGGUGAGUAGUACAUCGGAACGUGCCUAGUAGUGGGGGAUAACUACUCGAAAGAGUGGCUAAUACCGCAUGAGAUCUACGGAUGAAAGCAGGGGAUCGCAAGACCUUGUGCUACUAGAGCGGCCGAUGGCAGAUUAGGUAGUUGGUGGGAUAAAAGCUUACCAAGCCGACGAUCUGUAGCUGGUCUGAGAGGACGAUCAUCCACACUGGGACUGAGACACAGCCCAGACUCCUACGGGAGGCAGCAGUGGGGAAUUUUGGACAAUGGGCGAAAGCCUGAUCCAGCAAUGCCGCGUGCAGGAUGAAGGCCUUCGGGUUGUAAACUGCUUUUGUACGGAACGAAAAGCCCCGGGUUAAUACCCUGGGGUCAUGACGGUACCGUAAGAAUAAGCACCGGCUAACUACGUGCCAGCCGCCGCAGUAA